AUGAUUCCUCAUGAAGAGCCUGGAUCCCCUACAGAAAUCAAAUGUGACUUUCCGUUUAUCAGACUAAAACCAGACUCAGCCAGACAGUGA